rnacentral:rRNA from 1 species
UACGUAGGGUGCGAGCGUUGUCCGGAAUUAUUGGGCGUAAAGAGCUCGUAGGCGGUGUGUCACGUCGAUCGUGAAAACUUACAGCUUAACUGUGAGCGUGCGGUCGAUACGGGCAUCACUGGAGUUCGGCAGGGGAGACUGGAAUUCCUGGUGUAGCGGUGAAAUGCGCAGAUAUCAGGAGGAACACCGGUGGCGAAGGCGGGUCUCUGGGCCGUAACUGACGCUGAGGAGCGAAAGCGUGGGGAGCGAACAGG